UUCCGUAGGUGAACCUGCGGAAGGAUCAUUAUCAAUUAUAGGCGGCAGCAAUGCCACUAUACACCCUUUGUCUUUUGCGUACUGUAUGUUUCCUCGGUGGGCUCGCCCGCCGAUAGGACACUUUAAAACCUUUUGUAAUUGCAAUCAGCGUCAGAAAUAACUAUAAUAGUUACAACUUUCAACAACGGAUCUCUUGGUUCUGGCAUCGAUGAAGAACGCAGCGAAAUGCGAAAAGUAGUGUGAAUUGCAGAAUUCAGUGAAUCAUCGAAUCUUUGAACGCACAUUGCGCCCCUUGGUAUUCCAUGGGGCAUGCCUGUUCGAGCGUCAUUUGUACCCUCAAGCUCUGCUUGGUGUUGGGUGUUUGUCUCGCCGUUGCGCGCAGACUCGCCUUAAAGCAAUUGGCAGCCGGCAAAAGCCUGGGAGCGCAGCACAUGCGUUGCUUUCAGACUGCUUGUCGAGCGUCCAGCAAGCCUAUUAUUCUUGCGUUUGACCUCGGAUCAGGUAGGGAUACCCGCUGAAC
rnacentral:rRNA from 1 species